ensembl:snRNA U6 U6 spliceosomal RNA
GUGCUUGCUUCCGCAGCACAUAUACUAAAGUUGGAACCAUACAGAGAAGAUUAGCAUGGCCCUUGUGCAAGGAUGACAUGCUAAUUUGUGAAGUAUUCAUACUUUUU